UACAGAGGUCUCAAGCGUUGUUCGGAUUCAUUGGGCGUAAAGGGUGCGUAGGUGGCGCCGUAAGUCAGGUGUGAAAUCUCGGGGCUUAACCCCGAAACUGCACUUGAUACUGCGGUGCUCGAGUACUGGAGAGGAGAUUGGAAUUUACGGUGUAGCAGUGAAAUGCGUAGAUAUCGUAAGGAAGACCAGUGGCGAAGGCGGCUCACUGGCCCGGUACUGACGCUGAGGUGCGAAAGCGUGGGGAGCAAACAGG
rnacentral:rRNA from 1 species